rnacentral:rRNA from 1 species
UACGUAGGGGGCAAGCGUUGUCCGGAAUCAUUGGGCGUAAAGCGCGUGUAGGCGGCCCGGUAAGUCCGCUGUAAAAGUCCAGGGCUCAACCCUGGAAAGCCGGUGGAUACUGUCGGGCUCGAGUCCGGAAGAGGCGAGUGGAAUUCCUGGUGUAGCGGUGAAAUGCGCAGAUAUCAGGAGGAACACCGAUGGCGAAGGCAGCUCGCUGGGACGGUACUGACGCUGAGGUGCGAAAGCGUGGGGAGCAAACAGG